AAAUUGAAGAGUUUGAUCAUGGCUCAGAUUGAACGCUGGCGGCAGGCCUAACACAUGCAAGUCGAACGGUAGCACAGAGAGCUUGCUCUCGGGUGACGAGUGGCGGACGGGUGAGUAAUGUCUGGGAAACUGCCUGAUGGAGGGGGAUAACUACUGGAAACGGUGGCUAAUACCGCAUAACGUCGCAAGACCAAAGAGGGGGACCUUC
rnacentral:rRNA from 4 species